GACGAACGCUGGCGGCGUGCUUAACACAUGCAAGUCGAGCGGUAAGGCUCCUUCGGGAGUACACGAGCGGCGAACGGGUGAGUAACACGUGGGCAACCUGCCCUUAGCUCUGGGAUAAGCGAUGGAAACGUCGUCUAAUACCGGAUACGACACGGGACGGCAUCAUCACCGUGUGGAAAGAAUUUCGGCUAAGGAUGGGCCCGCGGCCUAUCAGCUUGUUGGUGGGGUAAUGGCCUACCAAGGCUUCGACGGGUAACCGGCCUGAGAGGGCGACCGGUCACACUGGGACUGAGACACGGCCCAGACUCCUACGGGAGGCAGCAGUGGGGAAUAUUGCACAAUGGGCGAAAGCCUGAUGCAGCGACGCCGCGUGAGGGAUGACGGCCUUCGGGUUGUAAACCUCUUUCAGCAGGGACGAAGCGAAAGUGACGGUACCUGCAGAAGAAGCGCCGGCCAACUACGUGCCAGCCGCCGCGGUAAUAC
rnacentral:rRNA from 1 species